rnacentral:lncRNA from 1 species
UGACAUCUCUUUGUUUAAAAUUUACGGUUGUCUCUUUUCUUCACAAUACAUUAACUGCAUUCUAACCGAAUCAUAUGAGUGAAUUUUCUAAACAUCACAAUAUAUGUAAGUAGAAUCAAAGAAUUAGAUCACGUGAUGGCACACUUUAUAAUGAAGAGUACAAAAGAAAGGCCAAACCAAUUAAGUAUAAUGAUCCAUAAUAUAUAUAUAUAUAAUCAAAUGACAUCAAAAUGUCAAACUUAAUAUCAUAACACUUCUGA